UACGUAGGGUGCAAGCGUUGUCCGGAAUUACUGGGCGUAAAGAGCUCGUAGGUGGUUUGUCGCGUUGUUCGUGAAAACUCACAGCUCAACUGUGGGCGUGCGGGCGAUACGGGCAGACUUGAGUACUGCAGGGGAGACUGGAAUUCCUGGUGUAGCGGUGAAAUGCGCAGAUAUCAGGAGGAACACCGAUGGCGAAGGCAGGUCUCUGGGCCAUAACUGACGCUGAGAAGCGAAAGCAUGGGGAGCGAACAGG
rnacentral:rRNA from 1 species